AAAUAAGGAAGGGCUUGGGGGUUCCUUUGUAGGGAAUUGGUAUGACCCAAAAUUGGAUUAUCUUUAGAAAAACAAUGUCCAAACCUUUUGUGUGUUGAAAUAUCUUAAUCCUACAUGGUUGCCAAAUAAGGAGAAAAAGAUAUGGGUAUUUAAAAACUUGAUAUUUUAAAUCCAGAAAGAAAGGACUUUGGGGGUUGGGGGGGCUUUCCCCAAGACCAAAAAAUAUUUGACUUGAGAAUUUGUUUAUUUGCUUUUGGCUUAUUAUGCACUAACAUUGUGGCUAUCAUGAAGAAUAUAAUGAAAAAAUUGAAAUGAAAAUAUCAUGAUGGAAGAAGAAAGAACCAGAUUACUGGACGGGAGGGAAACAGAAGAAGAGGAGAGGAUUGCUACCGAUUACUUCAAGUCUCUAUUUGAAUAGUAAGGGUCCUCGGUUAACGAAGAAGUGCUAGAAGCAGUGGAGAAUCGAAUCUCUUGGGAUUCAAACCAUCUUCUUUGCCAUGAAUUUAAAGUCGAGGAGAUUACAGAGGCCCUCAAGCAGAUGCACCCAACGAAAUCACCAGGACCUCAUGGAAUAUAAGAGAAUUACCAACUUUGCUUCCUAGGGAUAUAGUCAGUCCACUCCCGGUUUUUCUUGGCAAGCUCCACCAUGUCAACUUAUCAAGGUUAAUUUCGAUGCCAGCUUCGAUCAUAUGUCUAAACAAGGUGCAAGUGGUCUCAUCGUUCGAGACAAUGACGGUUUCGUUCUUGCAUGUGGACAGUCUAAAAUGGAGAGAGUUAUGGAUGCUAGUGUGGCAGAGUCAACUACUGUCGUCAAAGCGAUGGAAUUUGCCUUACAACUCGGGUAUCAAAAGGUUAUUUUUGAAGAGGAUGCUUUGAAUGUUAUUAUUGGAUUACAGGGAAGAAACAAGGACCUCUCUUGUAUGGAACUAGUGAUUUCAAAAGGAAGAUCCCUUGCCCUUCUUUUCCAGAUUUGUGUCUUCAAACACACCAAAAGGAAAUGCAAUGAAGCUGCUCACCAUUUAGCUAAAAACUGUUAUUUUCUGUGUGAUGCUUUUUGGAUGGAAGAAUGUUUAUCUUUUCUCUAUGAUACUGUAAUCAAGGACGCUAUUUAUGCU